rnacentral:rRNA from 1 species
UGCCAGCAGCCGCGGUAAUACGGAGGGGGUUAGCGUUGUUCGGAAUUACUGGGCGUAAAGCGUACGUAGGCGGGUUGUUAAGUUAGAGGUGAAAUCCCAGGGCUCAACCCUGGAACUGCCUUUAAUACUGGCAACCUAGAGUUCGAGAGAGGUGAGUGGAAUUCCAAGUGUAGAGGUGAAAUUCGUAGAUAUUUGGAGGAACACCAGUGGCGAAGGCGGCUCACUGGCUCGAUACUGACGCUGAGGUACGAAAGUGUGGGGAGCAAACAGGAUUAGAUA